UACGGAGGGUGCGAGCGUUGUCCGGAAUCAUUGGGCGUAAAGAGCUCGUAGGCGGUGUGUCGCGUCGGUCGUGAAAACUUUCAGCUUAACUGGGAGCUUGCGGUCGAUACGGGCAUCACUGGAGUUCGGCAGGGGAGACUGGAAUUCCUGGUGUAGCGGUGAAAUGCGCAGAUAUCAGGAGGAACACCGGUGGCGAAGGCGGGUCUCUGGGCCUUGCCUGACGCUGAGGCGCGAAAGCUAGGGGAGCGAACAGG
rnacentral:rRNA from 1 species